rnacentral:rRNA from 1 species
AGACGUAGGGGGCGAGCGUUGUCCGGAAUUACUGGGCGUAAAGAGCACGUAGGCGGAUAUUUAAGUCAGGUGUGAAAGACCGCAGCUCAACUGCGGGGUUGCACCUGAAACUGGGUAUCUUGAGGGCAGGAGAGGGAAGUGGAAUUCCUGGUGUAGCGGUGAAAUGCGUAGAAAUCAGGAGGAACACCAGUGGCGAAGGCGACUUUCUGGACUGACCCUGACGCUGAGGUGCGAAAGCGUGGGUAGCAAACAGGAUUAGAUACCCUGGUAGUCCACGCCGUAAACGAUGGAUACUAGGUGUAGGAGGUAUCGACCCCUUCUGUGCCGCAGCUAACGCAAUAAGUACUCCGCCUGGGAAGUAUGAUCGCAAGAUUAAA